GACGAACGCUGGCGGCGUGCUUAACACAUGCAAGUCGAGCGAUGAAGUUCCUUCGGGAAUGGAUUAGCGGCGGACGGGUGAGUAACACGUGGGUAACCUGCCUCAUAGAGGGGAAUAGCCUUUCGAAAGGAAGAUUAAUACCGCAUAAGAUUGUAGUAUCGCAUGAUACAGCAAUUAAAGGAGUAAUCCGCUAUGAGAUGGACCCGCGUCGCAUUAGCUAGUUGGUGAGGUAACGGCUCACCAAGGCGACGAUGCGUAGCCGACCUGAGAGGGUGAUCGGCCACAUUGGGACUGAGACACGGCCCAGACUCCUACGGGAGGAAGCAGUGGGGAAUAUUGCACAAUGGGGGAAACCCUGAUGCAGCAACGCCGCGUGAGUGAUGACGGUCUUCGGAUUGUAAGACUCUGUCUUCAGGGACGAUAAUGACGGUACCUGAGGAGGAAGCCACGGCUAACUACGUGCCAGCAGCCGCCGCAG
rnacentral:rRNA from 1 species